UUGACUCCAUCCCUCUCACCCUCUUUCUGCCGAUCAAAAUAUUUUUAAUUUCUAGAUACUUCUGAUAUUCUUUGUUUUUUGAUUUAUGGAUAAAGGAUGGGGCCUUAUUCUUGAAAAUUUUGGGCUUUUGCUAACAAGCCAGAUUUUUUGAUUUAAUUUAAGCCCCAGGUUGAAUCAAAGCCCUGGAAUUAUGUUUCUGGUGAAUCUGAGUGGCAGGGAUGAGCAGGUGGUGUAAGG
rnacentral:lncRNA from 1 species